rnacentral:lncRNA from 1 species
UAGAAAUUUUAAUUGAGAUUAGUUUUGGAAUAAGGGAAAGGGGGAUGUGAUUAAAAAAAUUGGGUUCAAUUUUUCUCAUUUGAAAUUUCAUAAAUAAAAAAGAAAAUUUCUUCAAACAUUUUUGAGAGGAUUAAUAUUCAACAGCAUAGUGAAUUGCUCUAAGAGAAAACAAAAAUUUUAAGUUCAUUAGAACACAUUCAUUCUGUGUCAGAAACCUAUGCUGUGUCAACUAUUUAAUCACAAUCCAAAUUUAGAGCUGAAUCCAGCUUGAAUGUUGUGUCCAUACUUGCCCCAACCGUUCAGGGUUCAACCUCUGCGGUCGUAUAAAGCUACGCCCUGCGGAGCAUCUGGUUCUACGCUAUUU